rnacentral:rRNA from 1 species
AACGAACGCUGGCGGCAUGCCUAACACAUGCAAGUCGAACGAGACCUUCGGGUCUAGUGGCGCACGGGUGCGUAACGCGUGGGAACCUGCCCUUAGGUUCGGAAUAACUUCCCGAAAGGGGUGCUAAUACCGGCUAAUGUCUUCGGACCAAAGAUUUAUCGCCUUUGGAUGGGCCCGCGUUGGAUUAGCUAGUUGGUAGGGUAAAAGCCUACCAAGGCGACGAUCCAUAGCUGGUCUGAGAGGAUGAUCAGCCACACUGGGACUGAGACACGGCCCAGACUCCUACGGGAGGCAGCAGUGGGGAAUAUUGGACAGUGGGCGAAAGCCUGAUCCAGCAAUGCCGCGUGAGUGAUGAAGGCCUUAGGGUUGUAAAGCUCUUUUACCCGGGAUGAUAAUGACAGUACCGGGAGAAUAAGCUCCGGCUAACUCCGUG